rnacentral:rRNA from 1 species
CCUUUCGGGGUGGAUUAGUGGCGAACGGGUGAGUAACACGUGGGCAAUCUGCCCUUCACUCUGGGACAAGCCCUGGAAACGGGGUCUAAUACCGGAUAACACUCUGUCCCGCAUGGGACGGGGUUAAAAGCUCCGGCGGUGAAGGAUGAGCCCGCGGCCUAUCAGCUUGUUGGUGGGGUAAUGGCCUACCAAGGCGACGACGGGUAGCCGGCCUGAGAGGGCGACCGGCCACACUGGGACUGAGACACGGCCCAGACUCCUACGGGAGGCAGCAGUGGGGAAUAUUGCACAAUGGGCGAAAGCCUGAUGCAGCGACGCCGCGUGAGGGAUGACGGCCUUCGGGUUGUAAACCUCUUUCAGCAGGGAAGAAGCGAAAGUGACGGUACCUGCAGAAGAAGCGCCGGCUAACUACGUGCCAGCAGCCGCGGUAAUACGUAGGGCGCAAGCGUUGUCCGGAAUUAUUGGGCGUAAAGAGCUCGUAGGCGGCUUGUCACGUCGGAUGUGAAAGCCCGGGGCUUAACCCCGGGUCUGCAUUCGAUACGGGCUAGCUAGAGUGUGGUAGGGGAGAUCGGAAUUCCUGGUGUAGCGGUGAAAUGCGCAGAUAUCAGGAGGAACACCGGUGGCGAAGGCGGAUCUCUGGGCCAUUACUGACGCUGAGGAGCGAAAGCGUGGGGAGCGAACAGGAUUAGAUACCCUGGUAGUCCACGCCGUAAACGUUGGGAACUANGGUGUUGGCGACAUUCCACGUC